rnacentral:lncRNA from 1 species
CUUUUUAGAACGGUCAGGAAGAGAGUUCCAAAUAUGCAUUUCAAAGCAACAAGGCACGUUACUGUAAAAAGACUUUCAUCUUGGCUCAAUCCAUUUAAUAUUCUAUUAUUUCGGCUUUCUAUUUUACGCCAAAAAUAAGGAACAUCCAACAACCUGUCUAAUUUUUACCGACAACUCGUCUCGAAAAUAAUGCGGUUGAUUUUAGUCCAACAACUCCAAUUUUCAAGCCAUGGUAGUUGAGAACGAUAAGAAAAGUUUCAAGACGGUACUAACUUAUAAUUGAAAUUAUGUAACUUUUUUUAUAGGAAUCAUCUCCCACUCCGUCACGUUUGAAAAAAUAAUGCUCUAUAGUUUGGCUUGUCUGCUACGUGUCAGUGGCGAGGCGUGAAUGAUCGAUUAUCGAUAUUUCCCCAUUUGAAGCUGUGGUAGAGAAUCGAUUAUUAAGGUGUUCGUUGCGAACACCCUGUUUAUCGAUCCUUUCUUAUAGGGUUAUAAAUGGGAGAUCAAUCAGUAUAUAGCAAAGCACGCCACGCCACUGCUAUGUGUGUUUUAGCUGCUCGUUUCGAGUUUUCUACUUGUCCGGGCGGUAGAGUCCGGUGACUUACAACGUCAAGCUUCCACAAUAGUCUUUCAAUUUCCCUUUAUCAGUUAUUAACACGUGAAUUGAAAAGUGUAGUCGUAUAUUUUAAGACUAUAGUAAAGAGGUUUCACGGGGAAAAACUGAACGUUGAAAGAAAACUGGUAAAACUCCCAGAAUAAUAUUGCCAACUUAGAGAACUAAGAUGAACGGUGAAGCACAAAGGUUGAAUCUACCGUAGAUCAAUUAACAUGUACUCAUGAUUUGACGGGGGCCUCGACCAAUUACGGUCAUGUAUUGGCUGCAAAUCAAUUUGGCAGCCCAUAUGGUUACCGACCGCCUCCCACAUUUCUCAACACUCAACAGUAACUUGAAACAAGACGGUCCGACUGAAAUUGCAGUCAUAAAAUUCAAGGUGGAUCCUGCUACUGGGUUAAUGCCUGCAGAAGUCGUCAAAAAAUCCUUAAAAAAAUUACGUCAUACGGAACGGAGAGAAGAAAAAAUGAAGAGAUUAAGAAAAGAAGAUGACAAAUCUGAAAAUGAUAAAAUGUGUGAGAGUUUUCUGAAUCAACUUCACACUUUAGUUCCACUCAAAUCAGAACAUGAUGCUACUUCUUCGGAAUCUGAUCCUAAUUAAAGGAAAAGAAUCAUCCUUCUUCAUCCUUUCUACCCUUCAAUCAUACUUUUCUGAAUUUUGAAAUAUAUUAUUAUACAAUAUUAUUAUAUAUUAUGUUAUACUUUUCAUUAAUAUUAUAUUUUUUA